rnacentral:rRNA from 1 species
GCAACGAGCGCAACCCUUGUUCUGUGUUGCCAGCAUGCCUUUCGGGGUGAUGGGGACUCACAGGAGACUGCCGGGGUCAACUCGGAGGAAGGUGGGGACGACGUCAAGUCAUCAUGCCCCUUAUGUCUUGGGCUGCACACGUGCUACAAUGGCCGGUACAAUGAGCUGCGAUACCGCGAGGUGGAGCGAAUCUCAAAAAGCCGGUCUCAGUUCGGAUUGGGGUCUGCAACUCGACCCCAUGAAGUCGGAGUCGCUAGUAAUCGCAGAUCAGCAUUGCUGCGGUGAAUACGUUCCCGGGCCUUGUACACACCGCCCGUCACGUCACGAAAGUCGGUAACACCCGAAGCCGGUGGCCCAACCCGUAAGGGAGGGAAUCGUCGAAGGUGGGACUGGCGAUUGGGACGAAGUCGUAACAAGGUAGCCGUACCGGAAGGUGCGGCUGGAUCACCUCCUUUCUA